rnacentral:rRNA from 1 species
UACGGGGGGGGCAAGCGUUGUUCGGAAUUACUGGGCGUAAAGGGCUCGUAGGCGGCCAACUAAGUCAGACGUGAAAUCCCCAGGCUCAACCUGGGAACUGCGUCUGAUACUGGGAGGCUUGAGUAUGGGAGAGGGAUGUAGAAUUCCAGGUGUAGCGGUGAAAUGCGUAGAUAUCUGGAGGAAUACCGGUGGCGAAGGCGGCAUCCUGGACCAUUACUGACGCUGAGGCGCGAAAGCUAGGGGAGCAAACGGG